GAUGAACGCUGGCGGCGUGCCUAAUACAUGCAAGUCGAGCGAACGGACGAGAAGCUUGCUUUUCUGAUGUUAGCGGCGGACGGGUGAGUAACACGUGGAUAACCUACCUAUAAGACUGGGAUAACUUCGGGAAACCGGAGCUAAUACCGGAUAAUAUUUUGAACCGCAUGGUUCAAAAGUGAAAGACGGUCUUGCUGUCACUUAUAGAUGGAUCCGCGCUGCAUUAGCUAGUUGGUAAGGUAACGGCUUACCAAGGCAACGAUGCAUAGCCGACCUGAGAGGGUGAACGGCCACCAUGGAACUGAGACAAGGUCCAGAAUCCUACGGGAGGCAGCAGUAGGGAAUCUUCCGCAAUGGGCGAAAGCCUGACGGAGCAACGCCGCGUGAGUGAUGAAGGUCUUCGGAUCGUAAAACUCUGUUAUUAGGGAAGAACAUAUGUGUAAGUAACUGUGCACAUCUUGACGGUACCUAAUCAGAAAGCCACGGCUAACUACGUG
rnacentral:rRNA from 1 species